UACUAACAUAUUAAAUGUCAU
rnacentral:piRNA from 1 species